rnacentral:rRNA from 1 species
GACGAACGCUGGCGGCGUGCCUAAUACAUGCAAGUAGAACGCUGAAGAGAGGAGCUUGCUCUUCUUGGAUGAGUUGCGAACGGGUGAGUAACGCGUAGGUAACCUGCCUUGUAGCGGGGGAUAACUAUUGGAAACGAUAGCUAAUACCGCAUAACAAUGGAUGACUCAUGUCAUUUAUUUGAAAGGGGCAAAUGCUCCACUACAAGAUGGACCUGCGUUGUAUUAGCUAGUAGGUGAGGUAACGGCUCACCUAGGCGACGAUACAUAGCCGACCUGAGAGGGUGAUCGGCCACACUGGGACUGAGACACGGCCCAGACUCCUACGGGAGGCAGCAGUAGGGAAUCUUCGGCAAUGGGGGCAACCCUGACCGAGCAACGCCGCGUGAAUGAAGAAGGUUUUCGGAUCGUAAAGCUCUGUUGUAAGUCAAGAACGAGUGUGAGAGUGGAAAGUUCACACUGUGACGGUAGCUUACCAGAAAGGGACGGCUAACUACGUGCCAGCAGCCGCGGUAAUACGUAGGUCCCGAGCGUUGUCCGGAUUUAUUGGGCGUAAAGCGAGCGCAGGCGGUUUGAUAAGUCUGAAGUUAAAGGCUGUGGCUCAACCAUAGUUCGCUUUGGAAACUGUCAAACUUGAGUGCAGAAGGGGAGAGUGGAAUUCCAUGUGUAGCGGUGAAAUGCGUAGAUAUAUGGAGGAACACCGGUGGCGAAAGCGGCUCUCUGGUCUGUAACUGACGCUGAGGCUCGAAAGCGUGGGGAGCGAACAGGAUUAGAUACCCUGGUAGUCCACGCCGUAAACGAUGAGUGCUAGGUGUUGGAUCCUUUCCGGGAUUCAGUGCCGCAGCUAACGCAUUAAGCACUCCGCCUGGGGAGUACGACCGCAAGGUUGAAACUCAAAGGAAUUGACGGGGGCCCGCACAAGCGGUGGAGCAUGUGGUUUAAUUCGAAGCAACGCGAAGAACCUUACCAGGUCUUGACAUCCCGAUGCUAUUUCUAGAGAUAGAAAGUUACUUCGGUACAUCGGUGACAGGUGGUGCAUGGUUGUCGUCAGCUCGUGUCGUGAGAUGUUGGGUUAAGUCCCGCAACGAGCGCAACCCCUAUUGUUAGUUGCCAUCAUUCAGUUGGGCAUUCUAGCGAGACUGCCGGUAAUAAACCGGAGGAAGGUGGGGAUGACGUCAAAUCAUCAUGCCCCUUAUGACCUGGGCUACACACGUGCUACAAUGGUUGGUACAACGAGUUGCGAGUCGGUGACGGCAAGCUAAUCUCUUAAAGCCAAUCUCAGUUCGGAUUGUAGGCUGCAACUCGCCUACAUGAAGUCGGAAUCGCUAGUAAUCGCGGAUCAGCACGCCGCGGUGAAUACGUUCCCGGGCCU